AUUGAGUUUGAUCCUGGCUCAGAUUGAACGCUGGCGGCAGGCCUAACACAUGCAAGUCGAACGGUAACAGGAAACAGCUUGCUGUUUCGCUGACGAGUGGCGGACGGGUGAGUAAUGUCUGGGAAACUGCCUGAUGGAGGGGGGUAACUACUGGAAACGGUAGCUAAUACCGCAUAACGUCGCAAGACCAAAGAGGGGGACCUUCGGGCCUCUUGCCAUCGGAUGUGCCCAGAUGGGAUUAGCUAGUAGGUGGGGUAACGGCUCACCUAGGCGACGAUCCCUAGCUGGUCUGAGAGGAUGACCAGCCACACUGGAACUGAGACACGGUCCAGACUCCUACGGGAGGCAGCAGUGGGGAAUAUUGCACAAUGGGCGCAAGCCUGAUGCAGCCAUGCCGCGUGUAUGAAGAAGGCCUUCGGGUUGUAAAGUACUUUCAGCGGGGAUGAAGGGAGUAAAGUUAAUACCUUUGCUCAUUGACGUUACCCGCAGAAGAAGCACCGGCUAACUCCGUGCCAGCAGCCGCGGUAAAU
rnacentral:rRNA from 1 species